rnacentral:tRNA from 1 species
GCGGUGGCUCAGCGGUAGAGCAUCUCCUUGGAAUGCAGGAGGUCCCAGGUUCAAUCUCCAGCAUCUCCA